AUUGAGGGUAGAGUCAGAUUUAGAUACCAGCUGUUAACUUAGUGUGCUAAAGUCCUAGAAGAAAAAACACUGACCUUAUUCACUGGCUAUGGGCCUCAUGGUAGAGUUAUCUAAUUAGUGACAUAUUUCAGAUAAAUAA
rnacentral:snoRNA from 1 species